rnacentral:rRNA from 1 species
GUGGAGCAUGUGGCUUAAUUUGACUUAACGCGGGGAAUCUUACUAGGUCAGGACCAUCGCGAGUCGGUUUGUGAUUCGUAUUGUAUGAUUGUCGCAGUGUCGCUGCUACAAAAUUAUUGGAUGAGUGGUGCAUGGCCGUUCUUAGUUCGUGAUGCAAUUUGUCUACUUAAUUGUUGGUUACGUAUGAUUCACGUCAUCGUAACCGUAACGAACGAGACCGUGUUGUGUAACGCGACGCUGUGACGAUCAUCGGUACAUACACAGAGCAAAUCGAAACUUGCUAGGAAGGACGCGGCAAUAACAGGUCUGUGAUGCCCUCAGAUGUUCUAGGCCGCACACGUGCUACAAUCUAGGUUGUGUCGCGUGUGUGUAAGAUUCACCGCAGCGAGUCGAACCAACGUCACCGAUGGUUGGGAUCGUCACUUGUAACUAUUUGACGUAACAACCAGGAAUGCCUCGUACGGUGGGUUCAACAGAUUCCCUGGAAUCCGUCCCUGCCCUUUGUACACACCGCCCGUCGCUCUUACCGAUGGUGGUAGGUUCGAGUUGCGAGGAGUCUCACGUAUCCGAUUGGGUUGCGGGGCAAAUCGUAACGAGAACCUACUGCUAAAGGAAAGAGAAGUCGUAACAAGGCAUCG